rnacentral:rRNA from 1 species
GGGAUGCGCAUGCCUACACAUGCAAGUCGAACGGUAACAGGUCUUCGGAUGCUGACGAGUGGCGGACGGGUGAGUAAUGCGUAGGAAUCUGUCUUUUAGUGGGGGACAACCCAGGGAAACUUGGGCUAAUACCGCAUGAGCCCUGAGGGGGAAAGCGGGGGAUCUUCGGACCUCGCGCUAAGAGAGGAGCCUACGUCCGAUUAGCUAGUUGGCGGGGUAAAGGCCCACCAAGGCGACGAUCGGUAGCUGGUCUGAGAGGACGACCAGCCACACUGGGACUGAGACACGGCCCAGACUCCUACGGGAGGCAGCAGUGGGGAAUUUUUCGCAAUGGGGGCAACCCUGACGAAGCAAUGCCGCGUGGAUGAAGAAGGCCUUCGGGUUGUAAAGUCCUUUCGUGGAGGACGAAAAGGUGGGUUCUAAUACAAUCUGCUAUUGACGUGAAUCCAAGAAGAAGCACCGGCUAACUCCGUGCCAGCAGCCGCGGUAAUACGGGGGGUGCAAGCGUUAAUCGGAAUCACUGGGCGUAAAGGGUGCGUAGGCGGUACGUUAGGUCUGUCGUGAAAUCCCCGGGCUCAACCUGGGAAUGGCGGUGGAAACCGGUGUACUAGAGUAUGGGAGAGGGUGGUGGAAUUCCAGGUGUAGCGGUGAAAUGCGUAGAGAUCUGGGGAACAUCAGUGGCGAAGGCGGCCACCUGGCCCAAUACUGACACUGAGGCACAAGAGCGUGGGGAGCGGACAGGAUGAGAUACCCUGGUAGUCCACGCCCUAGACGAUGAGGAGCGAGAUGUUUGGUGCCUAGGGUGACUGAGUGAAGGAGCGGGGGAGUAAAUAUUCGGGCGGGGAAGCUCGGCCACGAGG